CAUCGCGACCCCAGGUCAGGGGGACUACCCGCUGAGUUUAGCUUAUCAUAAACCGAGGAAGAAAACACGCUC
rnacentral:rRNA from 1 species